GCUAAACGCGAAGAACCUUACCCACCUUGUACAUGUACGGAAUCCUUUAGAGAUAGAGGAGUGCUCGAAAGAGAGCCGUAACACAGGUGCUGCAUGGCUGUCGUCAGCUCGUGUCGUGAGAUGUUGGGUUAAGUCCGCAACGAGCGCAACCCUUGCCAUUAGUUGCUACGAAAGGGCACUCUAAUGGGACUGCCGGUGACAAACCGGAGGAAGGUGGGGAUGACGUCAAGUCCUCAUGGCCCUUAUAGGUGGGGCUACACACGUCAUACAAUGGCUGGUACAAAGGGUUNCCAACCCGCGAGGGGAGCUAAUCCCAUAAAGCCAGUCGUAGUCCGGAUCGCAGUCUGCAACUCGACUGCGUGAAGUCGGAAUCGCUAGUAAUCGCAAAUCAGCAUGUUGC
rnacentral:rRNA from 1 species